GACCGCGUAGCUCAGUUGGCAGAGCAUUGGGCUAGUAUUCCAAAGGUCGUAGGUUCGAUUCCCCCCGUGGUCA